rnacentral:rRNA from 1 species
AUUGAACGCUGGCGGCAGGCUUAACACAUGCAAGUCGAACGAGUGGCGGACGGGUGAGUAAUGUCUGGUAAACUGCCUGAUGGAGGGGGAUAACUACUGGAAACGGUAGCUAAUACCGCAUACCAUCGGAUGUGCCCAGAUGGGAAUAGCAGGUAGGUGGGGUAAUGGCUCACCUAGGCGACGACCCCUAGCUGGUCUGAGAGGAUGACCGGCAACACUGGAACUAGGCAACGGUCCAACCUCCUACGGGAGGCAGCAUGGGGGAAUAUUGCCCAAUGGGCGCAAGCCUACUGCGCCCAUGCCGCGUGGAUGAAAAAGGCCUUCGGUUUGUAAAGUCCUUUCAGCGGGGAGGCGUUACCCGCAGAAGAAGCACCGGCUAACUCCGUGCCAGCAGCCGCGGUAAUAC